GACGAAGGUGGCGACCGUUGUUCGGAAUCACUGGGCAUAAAGAGCACGUAGGCGGCAAGGUAAGUCGGGUGUGAAAUCCCUCGGCCUAACCGAGGAAUUGCGCCCGAAACUACCGUGCUUGAGGAUGGAAGGGGAGCGUGGAAUUCCUGGUGGAGCGGUGAAAUGCGUUGAUAUCAGGAGGAACACCGGCGGCGAAGGCGACGCUCUGGUCCGAUUACUGACGCUGAGGUGCGAAAGCCAGGGGAGCAAACGGG
rnacentral:rRNA from 1 species